UUUCAAAGAGCAGCUAAAGAGAAGCGGCUAUACAUUGGAGGAGAGAGCAAAUAUACAUAGAGACCUUGAAGGGAAUCUUCUAAGGCAGGGAAGAAGCAGAGACUUGUAUCCACUGAACCAAAAUACAAGCACAUACUAUGUCCAAGGCUGACCAGUUCUCUGGUGGUUCCUGCUACUGAUCCAUCCAAACUGCUGGACUUGUCCUUCAUACCCAAGGUCUUCAGGCAGUAUCUAAUGGGAAGUCAACUCUAAAAGGAACCAGACUGUCAUUUCCUGGCCCCUUUAUUCUGGUGACUGAUGGAAGAGUGGGAGGGAAAUAUAUUUGUUUAAUGGUUGGAAAAACAUCAAAUUACCAUACCUCUUCAGUUUCUAUUCCCAUAGAAUUUUGCAACUAUGGUUUUUGAAUCAGUCAUUCAUAUAUAUAUGAAUAUGAUAUAUAUAUAUGCAUACAUACAUACACACACAUACAUAUAUAUGA
ensembl:lincRNA Gm15892 predicted gene 15892